rnacentral:rRNA from 1 species
AGGACGAACGCUGGCGGCAUGCCUAACACAUGCAAGUCGAACGGGGGUAGCAAUACCCUAGUGGCGAACGGGUGAGUAACACAUAAGCAAUCUGCCCUUCACAGGGGGAUAACAGCGGGAAACUGCUGCUAAUACCGCAUAAGACCACGGUACCGCAUGGUACAGGGGUAAAAACGAAUCAGUGGUGAAGGAUGAGCUUAUGUCCCAUUAGCUAGUUGGUGAGAUAACAGCCCACCAAGGCGACGAUGGGUAGCCGACCUGAGAGGGUGAUCGGCCACACUGGAACUGAGACACGGUCCAGACUCCUACGGGAGGCAGCAGUGGGGAAUAUUGGGCAAUGGAGGAAAAACCUCUUACCCAGCAAUGCCGCGUGAGUGAAGAAGGUCUUCGGAUUGUAAAGCUCUUUGAUUGGGGACGAAGAAAGUGACGGUACCCAAAGAACAAGCCCCGGCUAACUACGUGCCAGCCGCAGC